CUUACAUGUCACAGAUAAUAAGUAAAUAUAUUUUCUUUCUAAUGAAAUUUGAACUUAAUUUCACCACUUCACAAAAACAUGCAUUCAUUCUUUUAUCUUGUGGAAUUAUUUAACCUAUGUUAAAUUUAACAGGAAGUCAAUAUAUUGAAUUCCAAACAUGCACAGAUCCAGAAUGUUACAUGUAACACCUUUGAAGAUAAUAUCAUUAUGCAGGUUUUGUUUGCUUUUUGUUUUUUCAACUAUUUCUCUGAACUUUUAGGAUUCAUAAUAUUACAACACUGAUAAACAUCUAUGACAAGAUGCAGAGAAGUUCAAAAACAAAUGCAUCAUAUCACUUUGAGAUCUAAAAAACACUUUUGUAUAUAAAAUCACCAUAAAUGGUGAAGUUUUGAUGUAUCAGCUAGUUCAGAGAGAGGGACCUAAUGUCUAUAUUGAUUUAACAGAGGACACAGACCCGGGGAUGAAAAUCGAAACUUUGAUAUUAGAAGUCAUGAAUGGUAAGUGCAAAGAAUUUAUUGUUCUAUAUAUACAUAUUUUCUUUAUUUUCUUCUUGAACAUUUUUCUCAUUCAUUUGAAACAAUUUUGAAUAGAAAACCAGAGAUGAAUCAUCAAAAUCUUUUGGAAAAAAAUCUCAGUCUAAAAAAUAAGUAUUGUAGAAUAUUAAAAAUAUGAGAAAAUAUUAUCCCAUUCUGUUUAUAUGUAACAGUAUAAAUACUACAAGUAAAGCUAUUCUUUCAACAAACUAAAUUCCUGAAGGAAAAUUAAAACACACACAAACACACUCAACGUAACUCUCACAUACUCAAAGUUAUCUAAAUCUUUCUAAAAAAAAAAAUCUAAAAAUUAAAACAUUGCUUCAAGUAAUAAGUAGUACAUGGAAAACUAAAAAACAAAGAGACAAUGUUGUCCAAUACUGCUUGUGUGGAUAACAACUAAACUUCAAAAAAUGCACCUGAGAUGUAAAUUCAAAGUAAAUAAAUAAAAAAAAAAUCACUUUUGAGACAAUGUUGUCAAAAUAUUGAUAUGCAUAACAACUAAAUCUAAAGCUAUGAUUUUAUACUACAUACUAAGUGCAAAAAAUAUAAAUGACCAAAAAGUACUUAGUGGGAGGGGGGGGACAAUAAUAUGUAAUAACUAAAGGAAAUAUAACCUUUUUUUUGAAUUCCUCACAAAAAAUUAAAAAUAAAGUAAAACAAGCAAGAAAAUUAAAAAUACAGGUUAUAUUUUACAAUUUUGAAACAAUUAUCCUGAUGACAAUCACAUAACCUUUUUUUCAAAUUCCUCACAAAAAAAUUAAAAUAAAGUAAAACAAGCAAGAAAAAUAAAAAACACAGGUUAUAUUUUACAAUUUCGAAACAAUUAUCCUGAUGACAAUCACAUAUUUACACCAUAACAGUAUUACAUCUACAUACAGAUUUGAAUAGAAGGAAUGUGAAUUUCUUUCUAUUUUAAAUUUAAAAUACACCACCAAUGAUAUCAACAUGGUAUUCCCUACACAAAAUCUAAAAGAAAAAAAAAAGAAGAAAAAACACAAAAC